rnacentral:lncRNA from 1 species
UGUGAAACAAGAGAGAGAAGCCAAGUUAAGUUGGGCUUUCGGCUUUCUAAAUUAAUUGGGUUUCAAAUUGGGUUUGAUUCGAACCUGAUUCGAAUCAAAUUCGAAAAGCUGUUAAACCUAAUCCUAAUAGGUUUUGAAUCCCAUCCUAUUUGGAUUAUAAAUCCCAAUAGAGUCCCAAAGAAGUGGGGUGUUAAUAGCUUUUUCUUUCACGCACGCUAACAAGGAUGC